rnacentral:rRNA from 1 species
CCUACGGGAGGCAGCAGUGGGGAAUAUUGCACAAUGGGGGGAACCCUGAUGCAGCAACGCCGCGUGAAGGAAGAAGGCUUUCGGGUUGUAAACUUCUAUCAAUAGGGACGAAAAGAAUGACGGUACCUAAAUAAGAAGCCCCGGCUAACUACGUGCCAGCAGCCGCGGUAAUACGUAGGGGGCAAGCGUUAUCCGGAAUUACUGGGUGUAAAGGGAGCGUAGGCGGCAUGGUAAGCCAGAUGUGAAAGCCCGCGGCUUAACCGCGCGGAUUGCAUUUGGAACUAUCAAGCUAGAGUACAGGAGAGGAAAGCGGAAUUCCUAGUGUAGCGGUGAAAUGCGUAGAUAUUAGGAAGAACACCAGUGGCGAAGGCGGCUUUCUGGACUGAAACUGACGCUGAGGCUCGAAAGCGUGGGGAGCAAACAGGAUUAGAUACCCGG